ensembl:lncRNA PTCSC2 papillary thyroid carcinoma susceptibility candidate 2
AUGGUGGAAAGCUGCACUUGAAGUCCAACUCUGUCCUGGGGGAAUAAUUAUGUUCCCUGUCUUGGGAGCCUUUCUUCAGGGAGCUUGAUGGUUCCAACCCACCCAGGAGCCUGGGACAUCUGUGCCCCUGGGCAAUCCCCUGCAGUUUCCUGAUUCCAAGAUGAGGGGGUAGAAUCCGAAGAUCUCCAAGGCCUUGAUGAGUGCUACCAGUCUGCAAAUUCCCAAGCCAAGUUCUUCAAUGAAUCAAAUUUCCUCCAGUAGCCAUUUCUACCAAAGGAGCAACUGUUUUUCCUUCCCACUGACAUGGCUAUGUAUUCGAACUGGAUAUAGCAGCUCCAAGGACCAUGGCCCCAGGAACUAGGCACAAGUGACAGGAGACACUUGCUAUGUCUAAACCCAGUGCACCCUCAGCCCGGCCUCGCCUUUUCAAGGACGGCUAGCACAGGCCAUCAUCCUGGCCCACGAUGAAGGAUCUCUCUCUGCCACCCAGGCUGGAGUGCAGUGGCACAAUCAUGGCUCACUGCAGCCUCAAACUCCUGCGCUCAAGUGAUCCUCCCACAUCAGCCUCCCAAGUAGCUGGGACUCCAGGUAUGAGAGAACAGAAAUAGAGAUUUGGGUGGCUUUAGCUGUUUAAAAUAAGGUGACCAAACCUCCUUUCUGCCUGUUCCUGCUAUUUCAAACACCACUGUUCUCCACACAAUGAAAAUGGCCUUGUUCCUUAAG